CCGGACUUUGGAGGGGUUCGGCCGUAGCAGGUGGUCGACAAGGACAGACCUUUGGGGUCGGAAAUUCUCCAGGUCGGACGUUUCGAGGUCGGACGUUCUGAGGUCGGACGUUCAGAGGUCGGACGCCGACCUCAGUCGUCCAAGCUCGGUGGCUAUGCGGCCUUUUGGAGGUGGGGUUACUAUAUUGCUGGGGGAAAACUGUAUUCCCCCAACA
rnacentral:lncRNA from 1 species